CGCCGAGAGCCAGACUUGCUAUCCAUCUACAAAAAGCAUAGGGAGUGAAUGCACUACUGAAUGCGCCGAGGCUGAUGUCCAGGCCACUAGUGAAGUGACAGUGGUGUCAGUUGAGACACAAACGGAUGCAGUGCCAAAGAGGCACCAAAACCGUGCAGUGCGUGCCUGGCAGAGUUUCUGUGGCCAGGUACGCAACCUGCACAACCGCCUCAUCCAUGGAACGGAGGCAUUCUAAACCCUACUGGAAAUAUAGUAGCCUCCAUAGGAUGUACUGUUCUUCAGGGUGCUAGCUUAUUAUCUGAUUUAUAAAUUUGAACAGCUGUUAUCUGUAAUGUUUUAUACUGCAAAUUCUAUAUUUUUUAGAUUUGAUACAGAAAUUCAUAAAUGAACUGUAUAGUCGCUGAAUCCCUAAAGCGAAGGUUAAGUCAGGCCAUUCCUACUGAGGGCAUCUAGCACACAAGAGACAUCCUGCUAGUACCCCGGUGAGGGUAGGGGGCGGGAAGGCAUAUUCCGCGUAACCAUGUGUUUACAUGUGGGCCCCAACAUACAGGGUAUUAGCAGGAGCAAAAAUAUGCGCUAGAUGCUCUCGCUCAACCGCAAAAUAGAACACCAAAGCAACUAAAGGCUGUGCCUCGUGUCAUUUCAUGUAAAUAUUUCUAAGUAUGUAAAAAUAACUUGACGAAAGUUGUAUCCCCAAAUAUAUGUAGAAAAAAUAAAACACCAAAGCGACUGAA